rnacentral:rRNA from 1 species
CCUACGGGCGGCAGCAGUGGGGAAUAUUGCGCAAUGGGCGAAAGCCUGACGCAGCGACGCCGCGUGAGGGAUGAAGGUCUUCGGAUCGUAAACCUCUGUCAGCAGGGAAGAACGGUCACUGUGCUAAUCAGCAGUGAAUUGACGGUACCUGCAAAGGAAGCACCGGCUAACUCCGUGCCAGCAGCCGCGGUAAUACGGAGGGUGCGAGCGUUAAUCGGAAUUACUGGGCGUAAAGCGCUCGUAGGCGGUAUGUCAAGUUAAUGGGGAAAUCCCCGGGCUGAACGUGGGAACUGCCUUUGAAACUGGGAAACUGGAGUGUGUGAGAGGAUAGUGGAAUUCCAGGUGUAGGAGUGAAAUCCGUAGAUAUCAGGAGGAACAUCAGUGGCGAAGGCGACUAUCUGGCACAUAACUGACGCUGAGGAGCGAAAGCGUGGGUAGCAAACAGGAUUAGAUACCCUUGUAGUC